AAGAAGUUUGUUGGGGAAGAUUUUAUCGAUGAGAUGAGAUAGCAAGUUUAUCCAUUUACUUUAAUGAGUCCGAUCUAGUCAUACGUGGUGGGUGUUCAUUGGCAGAGCUGCAGGCCCCACAACACAGCUCCACCAAUGACAAAUCGCUGUGGGCACGCACAUGAUCGAAAUCCUAAUUGAACAUAUUAUCUGCAAGAACCCUGUUUAGUGUUCUAUUUGCUUUGUUUCAUCUUUUCAUUAACAUGCGCUUAGUACUUUUUAUUUCAAUUGUCAGGAUGGGAAGAUUGGUAUUGAUUCCGUCUACAGUGGGUUUGAAGACAACCUGAGGUUAAUAUGGGAUCAUUUCUUGUCAUGUGAGCAGCUGUUGACAUAAACAACAGGUUGCAGGCUCUACCCUACUCUUGGUUGAUGUUUGCGUUUGGGUGCUUCCUGUACUUGCUGCUGCGCAAAGAUGUAAAUAAGAUCAUGUUUGUGUCAAAUGGUUUUUUGCUAAUUAUGUGUGGACUUGUAUUAAAUCUUUGCUCGAGCAAUUCUCAUGCAGCAUGAAAUUUGUGUGAAUUUUGUCCAGUUUCUACCUCUUUUUUUUUUUUUUUUUCUCUCUCACUUCUGUUUUAUUUUUUCUGUGUGUGAAUAAAUAUCAACAGCUAGUACAAAUAAAAUUUGAUUUUAUUUGUAAGACCAGGACCUGUCUUCAAAGUUAAUGACAUUCUUGAAUCACUUGGGAUCCUCUUGCAAAUCUAUUUUGGAGAAAAGUUUUCUCCCCAACCUUAAUCAGUAAUGCAUCAAGAUUCUCUCCUUAUUCUUUCUUUUUUCCUUUAGUCUCUAUUUUUGUAAAUUUAGAUAAAAAUUAACUUAAUAGUAAAUAAAAUGAAAGAAACUGGUUUAAUUGUUAAUAUCAGAAUUUAAAAUUUAUUUUUGAUUUUUUUUAAUGAUAGUGAUCGUUUAGUUAAUAAGGAGCGAUUAAGAGUAAAUAAAUAAAUAAAUGAGAAAGGUUCUUGUCUGUCAGUAAUGUGGCAAUUUACAGAAAGGUCCUUGAUGAUGUCCGGUUAAAAUUUAAUUAAAUUAGUAAAUUGGAGAAUUAAUUAAUUUUUUCACAUAUUACAUUAAAGUGGAGUCUCCUUGCCAGCGAAGGAGAUGCCUUUUCCAAAGCAAGAAAUGAAAACUCAAAAAGCACACUUCAAAACUUGUGCAAGAAGGAGAUGUAUUGAUAUUUGAUACAUGCUUUCUUUUUCUUUGUGUAUAUAUAUACCCACGUCUGAUGAUCAGCUGAACCAACAGCCAACACUAGGAAGCAAUUUUAAAACUUUUGGUUAGUAUUGCUAUUUAAAUCUUAUGAAUUUUUGUUCAAUUUAUUAUAUUUUCACUACAGCUUUGUUUCAGGGUACUUGUCAUGUGAAUUUCUUUGAUGAUUUUGGUGGGUUCUUUUUAGCUUUUGUUUCACUGUUUCCACUGGUUAGCUUAGCUACUGUCUACUGAGAUAAAAUCAUUUGCUAGAAUAACUUAAAUCUUUUGCUAUUUUGUUAUAUUCAUAUUAUACAGAAUUAAUUCAUUGUAUCAAAUGUUAUAAUAAAUGAUGCUUGUGUAAUUUCAUUUAGUUUUUUUGUCCUUCUUUCAUAAUUCGCCUGUACAGUAUCUUUAACUUUUUUUUUCCUUUUUCCAAAUUUCUUUUAUUGUAGAGAAUGUUUGUUUUAGUUCUGAUCUUGCGUUACUGAAACGUUUCACUCAUUUUCCCCAAGCACUUUGGUUGCUAGUUUAUCGGGCAGUACUGCGAUAGUGAUUUCAAUUUACAAAAUUCUGUAAAUACUUAUUAUUCUUAGUGUGGUUGAAGGUAGUGUGAAGUUAAUAUUAUCACAAUGCCUUACAUUCCACCACAUUUGAGGAGUUCGAAGGACCCCCAGAGGCCAUCUCCAGUUCCGGAUAUGCUUUAGCCUAAAUUCAAUAGAAAAUUAAACUUGGGAUCAUCCAAGCAUGACGCAGGCGUGAGUUCAAAUUGCAUUGAGUAUGCAGAUCAUGCCGUACACAGAUUGUUUGUCUGUGGCUUGGAUAAUAAUAACAGCAUUUCUUCUGACCAUUUUGAGGAGUCGCCAGAGGAGGCUGAUGUGCAUGAAAGACCAGUGACCAUUAAUCUGGCUAGAGGUUAGUGGUUUGCAUUUUUAAAUCUAUCUUAGAUAUGUUUCUAAUUUCGUUCUUGAUUUAUGUCGGGUGUUAACUUUAGUUAUGUUGACAUUUGGAUUUUUGGGUUGGAAGGUAAUGAUAAAGCGUGUGCAAAUAUAUCAAGAGGCCCAUGGGAAUCGAUAGCAGAAAAUGUAUGGCCAGAUGUAUUGAGUGCUUGUAACUUUGUCAAGAACGAAAUGAAGGAAAAGCCAACAAUGGUUGCUAGAUUUGGCAAACUUGUUUUCAAGGAGUAUGUGAUCUGGUUCCAUUGCCGUUACCGCUUGAAUGUUUUGAGUUAGAUCAUUCCUUUGCUUUCUUUUGACUUUGAAAUCAAAGCAACGAAAAUGCAUAUUCAUACUAAAAUCUGACAGAAAUCUCGUGGUGAUAAAAAGUACUGGCAGCUAAAAUUACGAACUUUACCAUUAACCCUAGCGCCAUCAAUGUAUGACUAUAAAUCGACUCUCCAAACCAGGGGCACAAGUUGCCAUUGCUUGUAAAAGCCAAAGAGGAAAAGAUUUAUAAAAUAAAUAAAUAAAUAAAGGAAAAAGAAAAUUAUAAGAUUAAGGAUUUAUAGUACAUGCACUUUUUUCAGAUUUGUUGCAUCUAGAAUUUGGCUUUGGCUUUGGCUUUGUGUAGGCACAUUUCAGUAGUUGCUGCUGGAAACAAAUGUAUCCAUUGUCUUAGUACUGCUACAUUUCUGGUAUGAGAAACAAAUCAAUCUUCUACCACGGCCAAGUUUUAUUGUUUGAUAUUUCAUUGGGAUAACAAACUGUACCAUUGCUUGACCUAUUUCUUACAAUAAAAAUGAUGCAAUUGUAUCACAUAUUUCCAUUCUUAUGUCACAUCUUUGGAACCUGCAUUAGUUUUCUUAUCAAAAGUGCCUCAAAGAAAUAAUUAUUAUAUCAUUCAUCUUGAUGCAGGAAUGAUUUACCGAGCUUCAUAAGUGCAAGAGAACAUCAAGUUGCUGAAACGGCUUUGAAGUCAAUGAGGAGGCACCUUUACCCAGGUGUCCCUGCUGUACACAUGGAAAAAAUUGUGCAUGAAGUUGUGCCAAAAAUUGGAGUUGAUUUUGUAGAGUACAAGGAUAUAUACCAUGUAAAGGUAGUUACUUCAGGUAAACACUACAGUUUUCAUGAUCAAUUUUCUUUUCUCUCUGACUUAAUUCGCCAUUGAUCCCCCCCCCCCCCCCCCCCCUCUCCUCCUCUGUAGUUGUGGGACAGCAAACAACAAAUUACUUGCAAAUGUACUGUUAAAGAAGAUAAAAAGCUUGAGCUCUAUAAGGCAAGUUUUCUGCGUUUGGCUAACUGUUAUUUAUGGACGAUGGGUCGAAUCUUGUGUGUGCUGCUGUAUUUUAAGGGGACUUUUGCUAGUUCAAACAUUGCAACAAGACUUCUGAUGUUUUGAAUUGAAUAGACGAGAGUUUAAAUAUAAUCUUUUCACUGUGAAUUAUUAAAGAGGUACCAAAAUAAAAGCGAUAAACAUUAAGAAUGAGACGAAACCUUUGUGCCUCCCUAAGACUUUUUAGGAGUCUCUCCAGGAAUAAUCUCAAUUUUAAGGAAAGAAUUUGAAAUGAAGAAGAAAAUUCUCUAGGAGUAAGACUAGUUCUACUUCUGAUUGAGAAGAGGCUUGUUAAUUCGAUAAGGAAAGAUCUAGUUACUAUUACAAACCAAUUAAAAUUUGAAUUAAGUUAUCAGUUAACUCGUAAUUGAAUGUCUAAACCAACAAACUACAUAUAAUGUAACAGUUGCGAAUAUAAAAUUACAAAAAUACUGCCGAUUAUAGACCAAAUUGAAUAUGCCAAUCUUUAGGAAUUCUUUUCAGCAUCAUGGGAUUUAGAUUUCAAUAAUCAUUUUUAUUUGAGUAUGGUGACAUCUGGAAGACCAGAACUAUUAAGUAUCUGAUGGUAGUCAUUUUUAUUAUUAUUUAUUUAUCUAUUGUUGUUUUGCGUCUCUUCUUGAAUAUGAACAUUUUUUCUUGUAGGUCGAACUAAACCAAGUUCGUCACAUGGUAGCUGAUAUUGUAUGUUUUGAUGAAAAUCUAGAACUGAGGUUGGCACUAUAUACAAAGAGUACCUUAUUUGCUCCCUCUAUAAGCUGCUCAUUGUACUUGUUUUACCUAGACUUUUAAGUUACCCCUUCAUUUUUUCCCUUUUUAUUUAAUUUGGUUAUUGCUUAUUAGAAUCCUCAACGUUACAGAUGCUGAGGAAGAAAAAUUCAAGACCAGGGAAAAUAUGGAAAUCUUAAACUUAUAGCUGUUUUUUAACAUCGAAAGUUUACUUUCGAAGGGUUGGGAAAAACAAAUAUAGGACUAGCUUAAAAUGGUUAAACUUUAGUCAUGCAUUGCCCUUUUAUUGAAAUCAGAAACCUUACAAAUGUUAAAAAUAGAAUAAUAAAUAAAUCAUUAGAUUUUCAAAAUAAGUUACCAUCAUGUAGAAUUAAAACAAAAGUUAAAUAUAAGGUUUUUCUUGUCAUUGGGGGGUGUGUGUCUGUGUUCUCAAUCUAUUGUGAGGAAUGUAUUUUAUAUUGCUGAAAAGAAUCUCGAGUUAUAAGCCAAGAAUAUGUAUUUAUCAUAUCUUAUAUUUUCUGUGUAGUCCCAGCAAAUGAAUUGUACUUUCAAACUGAAAUUUUAAAAUUUUCAGGAUGAUGAAAUGAACAGCAUUAGAAUUCUGAUUAAUUCAGCCAUCCUGAAUCCAAAGGUAAAGGGUGGGUUAAGAUGGCCCAUAGGGAAGUCGUAUUACGGGAAUUAUAGAGUUGUUGGGGUUUGUUAAAUCAUAUAAAAGCCCAUCACUAAAGGUCAAGGUAAGAAAUGUUGAUCGAUUUCGUUUCAAGAGUGGAAAUGGGAAAGCUAUAAUCGGGAUUAAUCUAAAGUUCAGAAGAAUAGUUUCGGAGAUUCAGGUAUUUGCUGCUUUUUGCUUUAACUUUAUCACAUAACCUGCUAUCUUUGUGUAUGAUUAUAUAGAGCUUGAAAUUCUUGCUGUUACAUCAUAAGGUUAAUGCAUAGAUCUUCAUACAUUUCUUAUUGAAGUUUUAUUUUGAGCUGUAAUUAUAAUUUUCAAUUUUUACUAUUUGAUGGGUAUUGUCUUGUAGAUUGCUCUCCCCCCCCCCCCCCCCCAAAAAAAGUUUGAACGAGAGUAUUUUUAACAGUGAAAUAGCAAGAUUCUAAUGUAUAAUCUUCAUGAACUCAUUUUAGUUGUUAUACAGUUGUCCCUCUCUGUUAGUUUAUUUAUUCUGUCGUAAGUAACAAAUGAUUUUUUAGCUAUUGCCUAACUUGGAGUAAAUUUUAUUUCAAAACUGAGCUUCCAGCUUAUGACUUAGAAGUCUUAUACGUGUGUCUUGCACUUUGGUUUUACAAUCACCAUUGGAAGAGUGGCUAGUGUUUGUUAAUUGCUUCAAUCCCAGGAGCAGAGUUUUGAAACAUAAAUACGUUUCAUGAUUGUUAUUGCUCACUAUUUCCCAUGGCUUUGUCCCCAUGCAGCCAUGCUUAUACAAAAUUAGUUUUGUAUUUGAUAUCUUUCAUCUUUCAUUAAGAUGUUCUUAUUACUUUUCUCUUUUAAUCGUCAGGACGGGGAGAUUGAUACUGAUUCCAUCUACAAUGGGUUUAAGGACAACUUGAGGUUAAUAUGGGACCAUUUCUUGUCAUGGGAAGAUUGAUACUGAUUCCAGCUACGGUGGGUUUUAAAGACAACUUGAGGUUAAUAUGGGAUCAUUUCUUCUCAUGCGAGCAACUUUUGACACAGCUCUUCUUCUUCUUCGUUCGUAUUUGCAUGUGUGUGCAUCAUGUACUUAUUGCUAUUGAAAGAUGUAAAUGCAAGAAUAAGAUCAGCUUCAUAUUGAAGGCCAAAACUACCUUCCACCCGUUGGAAGGUACCCCAUCUUUUGUCUUGUUGUAGUCUAACCCUUGGAUUAAAAAGUAGUAAAAUCUAACAUGUUAGAAAAGGACACGUAAUGAAUGAAGAUGACUGGUGUAGCCGAUAAAAAACAAAAUCUCAAUUAAAAUGAUACCAACAUCACCAUCAUCAUCACGAGCUGCAACUCCACUGCCGCCGGCAACAACAACAAAAACAAUCUAACCAAAAUGUAGACAAAAUAAAAGAAAAACUAAAAAUAACUAAAAGUAAUAUAAUAAUUAAAAAAGAAAAAAAAGAAUAGUCAGCCGAAUAGUCAGCUGAAUAAGGAAAACAUCCCUCUUCUGUUGGAUCUUGUCUACAUUGUGGCCUCUGUCGCAAUAGUAUGGUGGUUGGUGUGGCUUUGUGUGUGUGCGGUGGUAAGGCUUGCUUGUACGAAGCGGCGGCGAAAGUUUUUUGGUGACGACGGUUAGGUGUUGUGGAUGAUUGGUAGGCCGCGGCAAUGGAGGAUAAGGCUGGUGAACUAACAAUGAUGGUUAGAGUUUGUGAAUGUUUGUAGUGGUGGCUAGGGGUUGUGAGGAGUGAUGGUUGUGAUGGCGGUCAUGGUGGUUGUUAGAGCUUGUGGAUGGCGGCUAAGGAUUGGGAUGGUGAUGAUGAUAUUAAGGGGUUGUGGGUGGCGGUGGCGGCAGAUGAAAGGGAAAAAUUGGUGUCUUUUUUUUAAUGUUUCUGUAGAUAAUUGUCUCUUACAAAGUUCAUGAAACGGUUGCCAAUUGAAAUUCAAUUUCACACUGCAGAACAAGAACCGUUAGAUCAACUUCUCAAAUAUCCAACGGCCACAACACUAGAGGACAAAAUAAGCUGUACCUUCCAGCGGGUGGAAGGCAGCUGGACCCCAUAUUGAAUGGUGCUAAAAUGUACAGACUUGUGUUAAGUAAAUGCUUGAGUUCCUCAAUUCUCAUUCUCACCCAGUUUUUACCUCAAUUUUUUUAAUUUCCUGUGUAAUAGUUGUAUUUGGUCUAAGCUUGGCAGUUCCUGUGUAAAGUGCUUUAUAUUUUUUUAUGUGUGGAAUGUAUAUCAACAGCCUGUAACAAUAGAUUUUGAUUUUAUUUCUAAGAUAUGUCUUUCAAAAUUAAUCUGGUGAUACACUUGAAUCACUUGGGAUCCACCUGCAAAUGUAUAUUGGGGAAAAGUUUUCUCCCUGCCUUUUAUGUAAUCACAGCCACUAAUAAUAUGGUAAUUUGUUAAAAGGUCCUUGACGUCUGGUUAAAAUUUAUUUCAAUCAGUAAACUCAUCCAAACGGUCUCACCUGGCUGGAAUAUUUAUUUUGAAUGUGUUUUUUUCAAGAUUUAAUCAGUAUUUUACUUAUUAGUGCUUCUUCUUUUUUUCUUUUCCCCUUUUCCUGUAUUUUUAAACCGUUGGUUAGAAGGCAAACAUUUCACAUUAAAGUGGAGUCUUCUUGAUGCUACAAUGUCAUUUGUAGUCUCUUUCGAGUAGUCUCUGAAAACUUAAAAGAUGAGAGGUUAGAAUAGAGUUGUCAUGACUCUCGCAAGUCAUUCCUAAGUGAGUGGUUCUCUAGUUAGAUAUCGAGUAGUGCUGUAGUUGUGUUAAGAUAGAGCUUCUCCAGUAAGGGCAGACAGGCCUUAAAGAUUGUAGUUGGGAGUUAGGCCACCAACCAAAAAAGGUUCUUGUGAGCAGUUACUCUUACUAGAUGGAAAUAGAAGAGUUAAUUAAAAGGUACAUAGCUAUAAGGUUGAGUGAUGAGGAAGAGGGGAGGGUUACCUUCAUGAGCAACAUGAAAGCAAAGGGGGAAAGAAUAGUUGCUGGCUGCUUGAUAGGAAAAGUUCUCAAUACAAGGGGAGUGAAUAGUAAAGGAUUGAAGAUGACUAUGCAAAGAGUAUGGAAAACAUCAAGGGAAGUGAAGAUAGAGAGCCUCGGAGACAAUGUGUUCAUGUUCAAAUUCGGCUCAGAGGCAGAUAAGAGAAGCAUAAUGGCUGGGGGGCCAUGGCACUUUGAUAGAGCUCUUAUGGUGCUUACAGAACCAGUCGGGAUAGGGGAUGUGAAAAAGUAAGAUUUUAGACAUGUAUCCUUUUGAGUACAAAUUCAUGACGUUCCUAUUAUGUGCAUGACAAAGGAGAUGGCAACAGUCUUGGGCGAGGUGGUUGGGAAGGUAGAGGAAGUAGAAACGGACGCGGCAGGGGAGUGUAUUGAACAAUUCUUAAGAAUGAGAAUUUCAGUGGAUGUUACCAAACCGUUGAAAAAGAUCAUCUAGCUAGAACAAGAGGGGGAAGAUGAUGAAGAUAUCCUUAUGCGUGUAAUGUAUGAAUGAUUGCCAGAUUUUUGCUUUUGUUGCGGGCGUAUAGGGCACCAAUACAGAGAAUGUGCCCAUUACAAAUCUCAGUCCAAGGAUGAAAAUAGCUUACGGUCCAUGGCUAAAAGCAAUUACCAUUACGGAAAGACUAAAACAGAGCAUAAGAAAGAAUAAGUGGGAUUCACAACCCAACAAUUCACAUACAAAUUUUGCAACCCCAACUAAAAUUACAAAGAACCAAGGUACGACAGAAACAGAACAAGGUAGAAAGGGAGAUCUGGGCAAUGAAGAUGGAUCCAGUAGACAUCUUUCGGACCCAGGUAUGGAUAGUACAACUGGAGCUAUGGGUAAGCUGCAGAAGGUAGUUGGGACACAAUUAAUGCUUAGGGAUACAGCCUAUAUGGAGCCAAUAGGUAGAGGGAGUGAAAAUGAAAAAGUUGCUGGCAAAGACACAGAGCAUUGGGAUAUGGGAAACAGAGCAAAAGCUAUGGGCGGGAAAAGAGAAGAGAGGGAAAUAAUUGUGCAAGAUGGAAAUGCUGAAAAAACAAAUCCCUCGAUACAAGCAAUGUGGGAAUUUUUAAGGGGGGAGUAACAGAAACAAAAGGGAACACAGCUGGAAUGGGCAGUCAACAAAAACAAAAUGAGAGCCCAGUCCAACUUGAAUCGAAAAUGGAGGAAAUUGAUGAUGGACCAGGGGGAGAUAAAAGCAAGCCCAAGAAAAAGAAAUGGAAGCUUCAAGCUCGCAAUGUGGAAGUAAAUGCGGGAACAAACGAAAGGUUCAUUAAAUUAAAAAAGCCCGGUUGCUCUAUGGAGUGGGAGAGUCCAAAAAUGAAGAGAAGCAAAACAAACAACCCAAAAAAGAAUGGUUACUCACCACGAGACCAAAAAAAGAAAGCUGCAGCAACUAAACUGAUUUUCGAAAAUGAGUUUGGGGAAGUCAGCGAGAAGAUUCAGAAUGUGAUUAAUGGGAUAUCGGCGGAGGCUGCAAGACAGCCCCGCCAAGAGCAAUGAAAGUGUUAAGCUGGAACGUUCGGGGGCUGGGGAAAGGCCGAACGUUCCGAGAAGCCCAGCUACUUUUACAGGAGCAUAAGCCUCAACUCUUAUUCUUCUGUGAAACAAAGAUGACAGUUAGACAAAUGCAGGAAAAGACAUACAAAUUACACUUUCAAAAUUGCUUUGCGGUUAGUAGAGAAUGACUGGGAGGAGGGUUGCCAAUGAUGUGGAAUCCAGAGAUAGUGGUGGACAUUAAAUCCUACAGCAAGCACCAUGUUGAUGCAGUGGUUCAUAGCGAAAAUGGGAGCUAUUGGAGAUGCACGGGAAUCUAUGGCCAUCCAGAAACAGACCAGAAAAAGCAUACUUGGGAGCUUUUAAGGAGGUUAUCUAAUUUAUCUUCUCUACCAUGGCUUUGUUUGGGGGAUUUCAAUGAAGUGUUGAAUUUAAAUGAAAAAAUAGGGAGAAAAGAUAGGAGGGCAGAACUGGUGAAUAAUUUUCGGGAAGCCAUUAGGGAUAGUGAUCUGGAGGAUUUAUGAAGUAACGGGUACCCUUUCACUUGGUCAAAUAGACGAUUCGGACCUCACAUAAUCGAAGAGAGGCUCGACAGAUUUUUGUGCAACAGCAAUUAGAGAAGUUGUUUCCAAGAGAAGGCAGCCCGAAAUUUGAUCUCGUAGAGCUCAGUUCACAACGAUAUCCUAAUGGAGGUGACAUAAAAAGGAAAAGGCGGUAGAUACAUGAAGAGAACUUUUCAAAUGGUCCACUAUAAAGACAUGUGGAGUCCAUAUGAGAAGUGCAAGGAAAUAAUUAAAAAGGAGUGGAUGGAAUCGUGCUGCUGGAACAGUGGAAACCCAGUUGAAUUGUUUAAGAAGUCAAAAUCAUCUUUGGCAAAGCUGAAAAUAUGGAGUAGAAACGAAUUAGAAGGAAAAAAUAGGAAGCUGGAGCAGCUAAGCAGCAAAUUGAAUGAGUUAAAGAAUGGAUACAGUCAUUUCGAUGAUGGAACUGAAGUUCGAACAAUUGAAAACCAGAUUGACAACAUCCUUUUAGAUGAAGAGAUUUUUUGGAAACAAAGAUCAAGAGCUGACUGGCUGAAGGAGGGGGACAAAAAUACAAGAUUCUUUCACUUAAAAGCUUCGGUGAGGAGAAAAAGGAAUAGAAUUUAUGGCCUAGAAGAUGAGAAAGGAAUUUGGGUUGAGGAAGCAGAAAAGGUGGAGCAGGUGAUAGGAGAGCAUUUCACAAAAAUGUUCACCACAACCAAUCCUUCUUCGACUCAAAUAAGUGUUGUUCUAUCUGAGCUGCCAGUCAAGAUUACGGAAGAAAUGGCAAGUUACCUGGAGCAACCUUUUACAGCAGAAGAAAUAGCAGAUGCGCUAGCUCAAAUGUGUCCAACGAAAGCUCCUGGCCCGGACGGAUUUCCAGCAGCUUUUUAUCAAAAACACUGGAGUUCAGUGAAGGAAGUGGUUGUUAAGACAUGCCUACACAUCUUGAAUGAGGGAGGUUAUCUCGCGCCUAUCAAUCAUACUUACAUUGCACUGAUUCCAAAGGUACAGAAGCCUAGGAAAGCAAAUGAGUUUAGACCAGUUAGCCUAUGUAAUGUUAUAUAUAGAAUUAUUGCAAAAACAAUGGCUAAUAGGCUGAAGCAUAUCUUGAAUGAUAAUAUAUCCCCCACACAAGGUGCAUUUGUUCCCAAUCGACUCAUUACUGACAAUAUUAUCAUAGGUUAUGAGUGCUUGAAUAAGAUUAGACAAAGUAGGAGCAAAAGAAAAGGUUUAAUAGCUCUGAAAUUAGAUAUCAGUAAAGCAUAUGAUAGAGUUGAGUGGAGUUUUGUUAAAUGUACCAUGCAAAAAUUAGGCUUUUCUGAAAAAUAGGUAAAUCUAGGGAUGAACUGCAUUUCGACAGUAAGCUUUUUUGUGUUAAUUAAUGGAGUGGCAAAAGGUCUCAUCCACCCCCAAAGAGGAUUGAGACAAUAAUGCCCUCUUUCCCCUUACAUUUUUAUAAUGUGUGCAGAAGUGUUUUCAAAUUUGUUGAAGCAUGCAGAAAGUCAGAGCUUGAUACACGGCCUGAGAUUCAGCAGAAGUUUAUCAAUCACUCACCUCCUUUUUGCUGAUGACAGUCUGGUUUUUUCAAAGGCUUCCCCUACUGAGUGCAAAAAGUUGAAGGGAAUUUUUGAUGAUUAUGUAGCCGCCUUUGGACAAGUGUUUAAUAAUGACAAGUCAUCUAUGUUUUUCAGCUCCAACACAAACCAAAGUCAAGUGGAGGAAAUCAAGAACAUAUUUGGGCCGAAUAUUGUCUCUAAGCAUGAGAAGUACUUGGGUUUACCAUCCAUGGUGGGAAGAAAGAAAAUCAGCUUCUUUAAUGAAAUUAAGUUGAGAGUGUUAAAUAAGCUGUCAAGUUGGCAAACCAGGAGAUUUUCUAGUGGAGGGAAGGAGGUCCUUAUCAAAGCUGUGGCGCAAGCGGUUUCAGCAUUUGCAAUUAGUGUGUUCAAAAUUCCUCAAGGCCUUUGUAAUGAUAUUGAAAGGGCUAUAGCGAGAUUUUGGUGGGGAUCCUCGGAAACUCAGAGGAGUAUACACUGGGCAAGGUGGGAAAAGCUGUGUAGUGCAAAAACAAGUGGUGGGUUGGGUUUUAGAGAAUUUCCGAGCUUCAACCAAGCUUUGAUUGCGAAACAAGGGUGGAGGGUUCUGCACAAUCUAGACUCUUUAAUGGCUAAAUUCUCAAAGCCAAAUAUUUCAAGUACACUGAUUUUAUGGAGGCUAAACUAAGGUCAAAUCCCUCUUUUGUUUGGAGAAGUAUUUUAUGGGGUAGACAAUUGCUUCAUGAGGGUUUAAGGUGGAGAGUAGGCAAUGGGCAUAAAAUUUCAGUGUUCAGCAGGAACUGGAUGAAGAAAGGUGAGUUUCAUAACCCGACAUCUAUAGCAAGGUUAUCUAAUGAUGUUGUUGUCGCUGAUUUCAUUGAUGAAAAAAACCAAUGGAAGCAAGAGAUGGUUGCUCAAAAUUUCCCUAAGGAGAUCACAGAGAGAAUUCUAAAGAUUCCCCUUCCAAAAACCCCCCAGGAAGAUGUUAUGAUCUGGAGUUAUCAUAAGCAUGGUGCUUAUUCAGUGAAAAGUGGUUAUCAGUUAGCAGUCAAGCUCAAAUAUCCAGACACACCAGGCUGUUCAGAUGCCACCAAAUCAAAGUGGAAAGUUAUUUGGGCUAAUGUGAUCCCUAAAAAAAUUAAGAUUUUUAUGUGGCGAGCUGCCCAUAACUUGUUGCCAACCAUAGACAACCUCUGGAAGAAAAAAGUGGUGAUGUAUUCUGUUUGCCGGAUAUGCCAUAGCAACAGGGAAGAUGUCUUUCAUGCAUUGGUGGGAUGUAGAGCUGCUAGGAAGGUGUGGAAGUUGACAGAAUUUUAUGAGGAUAUAAAGAUAUUGGCUCACCAGGAUAUGCUGAGUGUUCUUCAAGAAUUAGCCGGGAAGAGGAAAAAAGAUGAUUUGGGGCUGAUAAUUGCAACUUGUUGGGCUAUCUGGUAUGCAAGAAAUAGAAUGGUAAAUGAAGGUAAGCAAGAAGAUCCCCAAAUAACAGCAGCUCGGGCUGCAGCAACUGUAGAGUCGUACUUGAGAAUUAAGUGUCCAAAUGUCCAAGUUGUUCGAAGUCAGCACAACAAUAAUCAAUAGGUGUGGAAUCCCCCUCCAAUUGGUUGGUAUAAAGUGAAUGUGGAUGCAGCAAUUCAAAUGGCAAAUUCGAAGGCUGGGCUAGGUGUAGUGAUUAGAGAUUCAAGCGGGAAAAUUUUGGCUGCAACAGUUCAGAGCACUGGAUUCAGAGGAGAUGUGGCUUGUAUGGAAGCGGAAGCUGUGUUGUUUGGAAUUCAAGUUGCCUGACAAGCAAAAUGUGAUCCAAUCAUUAUAGAGUCAGAUUCUUUAGAAGUGGUGGAGCUAUCACUGCAAAAGAAGAGCAGCAUGGCAGAAAUUUGUUGGGCAGUGGAAGAGAUACAAGCAUGUCUAAAGAACCAGAGCAGAGCAUCAAUUCAAUUCGUUCCUAGAAACUGUAAUGUAGUAGCUCACUCAUUGGCAAAAGUAGCCUUAGAUUUUAAAAGUCUUGUAGUUUGGAUUGAGGACUUUCCAGUUCCAAUCAUGUUGUUACUGUCAAAGUUUGUUUAAUUAGAAAGCUUUACUUUCGCUUCCAAAAAAAAAAAAAGUGGAGUCUUCUUGCGACUAAAGGAGAUGCCUUUCCUAAAGCAAGAAAAGAAAACUUAAAGCCCUCUUCAAAACUUGUGCAUGAAGGAUAUGUAAUUGACGUACGCAGAUAUGCUGCAUUAUUAUAUAUAUAUAUAUAACCCAUAUAAGUCUAAAUAUCCGCUGAGCUCCUGACCCAACAGCCAGCCAACACUAGGAAGCAAUUUUAAAAAUUUUGGUUAGUUCUGUUCUUUAUUUAUUUUGAAUUUUUGUUCAAUUUAUUAUAUUUUCACUUCAGUUUUACUUCAGGAUACUCGUUAUGUGCAUUUCUUUGAUGAUUUUGGUGGGUUCUUUUAAGCUCAUAUUUUACUGUUUCCACUGGUUAGUUCAGCUUCUUCUACUGAGAUAAAAUUAUUUGCUUCAAUAACUUAAUCGUUUGUGAUAUUAUUAUGUGAUUGUAUAUAGAGUUAUUUCAUUGUAUCAAAUGUUAUCAUAAAUGAUGCAUGAGUAAUUUCAUUUAGUUUUCUUUCUUUCUUUCAUAAUUGACCAGUAGGAUUUCUUUUCCUUUUUUUCUUUUUUUUUUUCUAAAAUAAAAUAAGGGUUCUCUUUGUCUGGAGAAUGUUUGUUUUAGUUUUGAUCUUGGGUUACUGAAACGUUUCAGCAUUUUUCCCAAGUAUUGUUAUUGCUUGUUUAUCAGACCACAUUGAUAUAGUGAUUUCAUUUCAUAAAUUUUCGUAAGUAGUUAUUAGAAAAAUUAUCCAUCGAUCACUUUUUCUUUUAAAUAUAUAUAUUUUCAUUUUCUUUUAUUUAUUUUCACUUGAAAUUAUAUUUUUUUUAUCCGCUUAUUUCCGUCUCCACACAAUUAUAAUUUUGUUAAUGUCGCAGGGGCCAAUUUGUCAUUUAACCUGAACAACAAAAGCAACAAUGUCGUUUAAACAAGACCCAAAAAAAAAAAAAAAAGGAAAAGCGGUCGAGAGCAGAGCAAACCACAAGAACGGCCAUUGUUUAUAAUAACAAUAAGAAGAAGCUUCUGCUGCCGCCACUGUUAGUUGAACGACUGACUAGACCACCAGCGUUGGCAGGAAGCUGCGGGCGAAGUCGUUGACGAAGUUAUAUUUUUGCGCAAACACACUGCCGUUUCAAAUCGCUCGGCACUCACAGUUCAUCCAAUCGGUACAGUUUACAUACUUUAGUUAAUUUCUUUUUCUUAAUAUUAAUAAUUUACUUUAAUCAUUUAUUCUUUAUUAUUUGGCAGGAGUACCUCAUUUGCGUGAAGGAGAGCCGCUGCACUAGGUGGAGCCCAGGCUGGGACGCACCGCGUAACCCUAGGAUUGGCCCGUGGCUAAGCCUCUUAAAGAAAAUUGCUCUCUCUCAUAAUUUAGUUCCUGAAUUUGAGGUAUAAUUAACUUUUAUUCACUAUUUAAAAAAAAUGGAAUAUUUUUAUUUUCUUUUAGUUAUGUGAAGUUGCUUUUUUUUUUUUUUUUUUUUACAUGAAUGUAGAUUACAUUGGUGGGUACUCAUCAUGGACCCGUGACGAAUAGAUGAAUCUUUUGCUAAGACUAUACUGAUUAUGAUCCUUGGAGAGAAAUGAAGAAGAUAUAAGAUAACAUGGCAUGGCCAUUAUAUUCAAUUAUCUCAUAAGUAUGUUGCUUCCACUUCGAAUAUUAAAUCCGAAUUUCUUUUUUCAAAUUUGAUUUUUUUUUGGCAUUUAUAUAAGGUAAAAUUGUAAUUUUACAUUUGGGGGGAAAAAAAAUCAUUUAUCUGAUUUUCCGCUAGUUCUCUUAACAGUGUGCAGACGGGAGUGGACAGGUGCAAGAAAAUGUAGCUUUAGGUAGAAAUCAGCCAAAAAAUCAAAGACAUGUGUAUGUUUGAAAAAACAGAAAAAAAAAAAAAAAACAGGUGGUCAGUGGAUAAUUUCCCUACUUAUUAUUCCUAGCGUGGUUUAAGGUAGUGUCAAGUUAAUAUUAUCAUAAUGGCUUACAUUCCACCCCAAAAGCGGCAUUCGAAGGGCCCCAAGAGGCCAACUCCAGUUCCGGAAAUGCUUGUGCCUGAAUUCAACAGAAAAUUAAACUUGGGAUCACGCAAGCAUAAGGCAGGCAUGAAAGUAAAUUACGUCGAGUAUUCAGACCAUGCCGUACAAAGAUGGUUUGUUUGUGGGUUGGAUAGUAAUAGUAGCUUUCCUUCUGUCCAUUUUGAGGACUUUCCAGAGGAGUCUGUUGAGCAUAAAAGAGGAGCUAAGCCCUUAGUUUUAGUGACCAAUAAUCUGGCUAAAGGUUAGUGGUCUGCAUUUUUAAUUUAUCUUAAUAUGUUCUACUUUCGUUCUUGAUUUAUGUCUGGUGUUAAUUUAUCUAUUGGGAGGAAUGUACAUUUUCAUUUCAUAUUCCUGAAAACAAUUUUGAGUUGUAAGCGGUCCCUGCAAAUGAAUUCUAUGAUCAAACUGAAAUUUUAAAAUUUUCAGGAUGACGAAAUGAACUGCAUUAGAAACCUGAUAAAUUCGGCCAUUCUGGAUCCGGAAGUAAAGGGUGGGUUAAGAUGGCCCAUGGGGAAGUCAUAUUCUGGGCAAAGAUACAGAGUUUUUGGGGUUUGGCACACCGAAUUUAAAUCAUAUAAAAGCCCAUCACUAAAGCUCAAGGUAAGAAAUGCUGAUCGAUUUGAUUUCAAGACUGCAACUGGGGAAGCUACAAUUGAGAUUAAUCUGAAGUUGCGAAGAAUAGUUUCAGAGAUUCAGGUAUUUGCUGCUUUUUGCUUCAACUUUUAUCACUUAACCUGCUAUCCUUGUAUAUGAUUACAUAGUGCUCGAAAUUCUCUCUGUUCCAUCAUAAUGUUAAUGCAUAUUUUAUCUUCACACUUUACUGUAAUUUUCUAUUUUUACUAUUAGAUGCUGGAAAGAGGGUCUUUUUUUUUUGUUGUUUGGGGGGGGGGGGGGGGGGUUGGGGGAAGAUUGCCAUACAAAAGAAGUUUGUCGGGGAAGAUUUUAUUGAUGAGAUGAGAUAGCAAGUUUAUCCAUUUACUUUAAUGAGUCCGAUCUAGUCACACGUGGUGGAUGUUCAUUGGCAGAGCUGUGGGCCCCACAACACAGCUCCACGAAUGACAAAUUGCCACGGACGCGCACAGGAUCGAAAUCCUAGUUGAACAUAUUAUCUGCAAGAUCCCUGUUUGGUGUUUUAUUUGCUUUGUUUCAUCUUUCAUUAACAUGCACUUAGUACUUUUUAUUUCAAUUGUCAGGAUGGGAAGAUUGAUAUUGAUUCCGUUGACAGUGGGUUUAAAGACAACCUGAGGUUAAUAUGGGAUCAUUUCUUGUCAUGCGAGCAGCUUUUGACAUGAACAACAGAUUGCAAGCUCUCCCCUACUCUGGGUUGAUGUUUGCGUCUGGGUGCAUCCUGUACUUGCUGCUGUGGCAAGAUGUAAAUAAGAUGAUGUUUGUGUCAAAUGGUUUUUUGCUAAUUAUGUGUGGACUUGUAUUAAAUCUUUGCUCGAGUAAUUCUCAUUCUGAACUUCAAAUUUUGUCCACUUUCUACCUCUUUUUUUCUCUUGUGUUUUAUUUUUUCUGUUUGUGAAUAAAUAUCAACAGCG
rnacentral:lncRNA from 1 species